UACGUAGGGUGCGAGCGUUGUCCGGAAUUAUUGGGCGUAAAGAGCUUGUAGGCGGUCUGUCGCGUCUGCUGUGAAAAUCCGGGGCUCAACCCCGGACUUGCAGUGGGGUACGGGCAGACUAGAGUGUGGUAGGGGAGACUGGAAUUCCUGGUGAUAGCGGUGAAAUGCGCAGAUAUCAGGAAGAACACCCGUGGCUAAGGCGGCUCUCUAGUACGG
rnacentral:rRNA from 1 species